rnacentral:rRNA from 1 species
GGUCAAUAGCCUAACGGCUGAACCAGCAACUUGGAGGAACGAAAAACCGAAGUCAAAAGCGGUUGCCAUGUUAAUAGAAUGUGGGGCAUAAAAUGCGAAUAGUUCGAAGUAAUUUUGAUAAUGACAUUAUUCACUUCAAGGUCUUGACCAACUCAUGUGCCAGCAGUUGCGGUAAGACAUGGAAGGCCAGCGUUAUUCAUCUUUAUUAGGUUUAAAGGGUACCUAGACGGUAAUAAUAGCCUUUAUCUCCAAAGAUAAUUGUACUUUAUUUACUAGAGUUUGAUGUAAGGAAUUCAGAUGGGUGAGUGUAGGGAUAAAAUCUGUUGAUACCACUUAAAAACUGGCUUAGGUGAAGACAGGUUCUUAUGUAAUAACUGACGUUGAGGGACGAAGGCUUGAUACAAGCAACGGGAUUAGUUACCCCAGUACUAAAAGCAGACAAUGAUGAAUGCCAUAUGUAAGAAAAAAAAUCGUUUUUAUGUAUAAAUGAAAGUGUAAGCAUUUCACCUCAAGAGUAAUAUGGCAACAUAUAAACUGAAAUCAUUAGGCCGUUUCUGGAACUCGUAGUGAAGUAUGUUAUUUAAUUUGAUAACCCACAAAGGACCUUACCACAGUGUGUAUAGUAAUGUAUAUAUAUAUUACGGACAAGUGUUGCACGGCUGUCUACAGUUGAUGUCGUGAGAAAUGAUUCGCUUCAUAAAUCAACGAAAUCCCUGACUUUAGUUAUAUUAAAGUAGUAGUAUUGACAUAUGUAAUAAUAUGCAAUAUUAAUAUAUGGGAACAUGACAAGUCAUCAUGGCCAAAUAUCCAAAUUGAUAGUAUUGUGGGCGAUAGACGUGCCACAUUUAACCUAGACAAAGAGAUGCACAAUUGUAAAAUUAAGCUAAUCUUUAAAAUAGGAUAGAAUAUGGAUUG